ACAUGGGGCACCUGAUCAGUCAUGCCGCGUGUGUGAAGAAGCCUUCGGGUUGUAAAGCACUUUUGUCAGGAACGAAACGGUGGGGGCUAAUAUCCUCUGCUAAUGACGGUACCUGAAGAAUAAGCACCGGCUAACUACGUGCCAGCAGCCGCGGUAAUACGUAGGGUGCGAGCGUUAAUCGGAAUUACUGGGCGUAAAGCGUGCGCAGGCGGUUGUGCGAGACAGAUGUGAAAUCCCCGGGCUUAACCUGGGAAUUGCAUUUGUGACUGCACGGCUAGAGUGUGUCAGAGGGGGGUAGAAUUCCACGUGUAGCAGUGAAAUGCGUAGAUAUGUGGAGGAAUACCGAUGGCGAAGGCAGCCCCCUGGGAUAACACUGACGCUCAUGCACGAAAGCGUGGGGAGCAAACAGGAUUAGAUACCCUGGUAGUCCACGCCCUAAACGAUGUCUACUAGUUGUCGGGUCUUAAUUGACUUGGUAACGCAGCUAACGCGUGAAGUAGACCGCCUGGGGAGUACGGUCGCAAGAUUAAAACUCAGAGGAAUUGACGGGGACCCGCACAAGCGGUGGAUGAUGUGGAUUAAUUCGAUGCAACGCGAGAAACCUUACCUAACCUUGACAUGUACGGAACCCUGCUGAGAGGUGGGGGUGCUCGAA
rnacentral:rRNA from 1 species